AUCGCUUCUCGGCCUUUUGGCUAAGAUCAAGUGUAGUAUCUGUUCUUAUCAGAAAGAGCUGAAGGGGCUUGCAACCCCAUAAGAACAACAAUGCCAGCCAACCAGAGCUUCCAGGGACUAAACUACUAUCCACAGACUAUAUACAUGAACAGACUCAUGGCUACAACUGC
rnacentral:snRNA from 14 species